rnacentral:tRNA from 1 species
UAGCUCAGUUGGUAGAGCACCUGACUAGAGAAUCAGGGGACCCGUGUUCGAAUCACGG